rnacentral:tRNA from 1 species
AAGCAUGUAGCUCAGUGGAUAGAGCAUCAGAUUCCGAUUCUGAAAGCCAAGGGUUCAAUUCCCUUCAUGCUUA